rnacentral:rRNA from 1 species
UUGACCUCAAAUCAGGUAGGACUACCCGCUGAACUUAAGCAYAU